AUUGAACGCUGGCGGAAUGCUUUACACAUGCAAGUCGAACGGUAGAGGGGGCAACCCCUUGAGAGUGGCGAACGGGUGAGUAAUAUAUCGGAACGUGCCCAGUCGUGGGGAUAACGUAGCGAAAGUUACGCUAAUACCGCAUACGAUCUAUGGAUGAAAGCGGGGGAUCGCAAGACCUCGCGCGAUUGGAGCGGCCGAUAUCAGAUUAGGUAGUUGGUGAGGUAAAGGCUCACCAAGCCGACGAUCUGUAGCUGGUCUGAGAGGACGACCAGCCACACUGGACUGAGACACGGCCCAGACUCCUACGGGAGGCAGCAGUGGGGAAUUUUGGACAAUGGACGCAAGUCUGAUCCAGCCAUUCCGCGUGCAGGAUGAAGGCCUCGGGUUGU
rnacentral:rRNA from 1 species